rnacentral:rRNA from 1 species
AUGCGCGACCUCGAACGAGCCGGCCUUGCACGGAGGCUGCGUUGGCUGUGGUUCUCCAGAACAGAUCCCGAGCGAGCGUGGCAAGGGCUUGCCCUCCAGUUCUCGUCCAUGGAGCAUGCGCUCUUCUGGCCAUCCACGUCCAUGGUCAUCGGGAAUGGGUUGACCGCCCUGCUAUGGGAGGACCGGUGGAUCAACGGCCAGUCCGUCUGCGAGCUCCUUCCCAACCUCUACGACUGCAUCCCCAAGCGACGGCGCACGGCGAGAACCAUGGCCGACGGGCUGAAUGGCAACUCCUGGGCACGCGACAUUCACGGCAACCUGGGCCUGCAUGAGAUUGGUCAGUACCUGCAGCUUUGGCAGGUAAUGCAGCACACCGAGCUCUCCGCUGCCCCGGACCAGCUGAUCUGGAAAUGGACGGCGAGCGGCACCUACUCCGCCCAAUCCAGCUACUUGGCCACAUUCCAUGGAUCGACGACUUGCUACUCCUGGAAGCUUAUCUGGAAAAGUUGGGCGCCGCCAAGAGUAAAAUUCUUCCACUGGCUGGCCAACCAAGACCGGUGCUGGACUGCUGAGAGGCUGGCUCGCCAUGGACUGCAACACCACCCUCGCUGUCUCCUAUGCGAUCAAGAGCCGGAAAUGCUCCGACACCUGCUGCUGGAAUGCCCCUUCGCUCGCCAGGCAUGGCACGAGGUCCUGGCCUGGCUGCGCAUUCCAGCCCCGAUUCCCACCCGCAAGCCCUCGCUCAUGGAUUGGUGGAAGCAUGCCAAAAGAGAACACGUCGCCGAGCCUUCACAAAGCCCUGAAACCCGUUGCGUUGCUCGUGCCUUGGAUGGUUUGGAAGCAUAG